rnacentral:rRNA from 1 species
UGCGUAGGCGGUCCGCUAAGUUGGAUGUGAAGACUCUGGGCUUAACCCAGAGCCUGCAUUCAAAACUGACGGGCUAGAGUUCUGGAGGGGGUAGCGGAAUUCCUGGUGUAGCGGUGAAAUGCGUAGAUAUCAGGAGGAACACCGGUGGCGAAGGCGGCUACCUGGACAGAAACUGACGCUGAGGCACGAAAGCUAGGGGAGCAAACA